GUGCUCACUUCAGCAGCACAUAUACUAAAACUGGAACGAUACAGAGAAGAUUAGCAUGGCCCCGGCGCGAGGAUGACAAGCAAAUUCAUGAAGAGUUCCAUAUUUUU
ensembl:snRNA U6 U6 spliceosomal RNA